CAUUUCCCAGGACAUCACGUGAGACCUCGUUCAUCUCCUGCACCACCAGCUUCACCACAUCUUCUGCCGACAUCUUGUUGGUGAGGUGCAGCUGUGCAGAAAUAGAGUACAAUGCUAGAUUCUUCAAGAAACCAUGUGAGUGGGAUGCCACCAGAAGGCUGCUUGUACCGGGCAUGCUGCAAUGCAUCCAUCAUCCAGCGCAUUUCUCGCCAAAUCUCCUCCAUUUGCUGUCCAAGAGAAAGACAUAGAAUCAGCUCCUUUUUUGACACUGAAAAAUCAUUCAGGAGGCUGCGCAGCAGGCUAGCCACAAGCCUGGAUUGAAAGCCCUACCUGGAGAUGUUUGGGUUGCUUCGUAUCUUCACAUGACAUAAUAUGUUGGGUAAACGUUCAGGCACCAGCACUCGGAUCUGGUCAACAGCACUACAGAGCUUCAGCUUCCUGGAUCCAACCAAGACCAAAAGCCUCAGGAGACAGACUGGCACGGGGCAGGAGGCACCAGAAAUUUUACAAAGGAGACUGUUGUUGUCAGAUAUCCAGACUAGUGCUGCAAUCUCCAGGAACAGAGACUGCGUUGAACUGGCCCUUUAGUGGUUUGGCCUUUGCUAAUCCUGGCAAUGGCUUUGAAUAAGCACUUUCAAUAGACCCUUGUACAGGUGCUUGAGUGCCUUUUGUUGCUGGAGACACUUGGCUGACUGAGAGGAAAUGAAAAGAGAGAGGAACAACUAAACGAGGGGUCAAGAGGAGGAGGAAAGGCUGGGCACUCACGGAAGGGAUUCUUUGCUAAGACCUGCUAACAAGCUGGGAAAACAACUGCAACUGGAUGCAAGAAGGGUAAAUGUAUCAAAAAUAGUUAUCUGAAUCCCUAGUGGGAAAACUUACACCUGGGAAACCAACUUUUCCUUUGCCUCUGCAAAAUGUCACAUACCUUGAAUAAAAACUAAGCAAAAAAGAAGCUGAACUUCUGCACUCCUAAACAGGGCUU